UACAGAGAGUGCAAAUGUUGUUCGGAAUUACUGGGCUUAAAGCGCACGUAGGCGGCGCCGCAAGUGUUGGGUGAAAUCCCACGGCUUACCCGUGGAACUGCCCAGCAGACUGCGGUGCUAGAGGAUGGUAGGGGAGAGCGGAACUCCUGGUGGAGCGGUGAAAUGCGUAGAUAUCAGGAGGAACACCGGUGGCGAAGGCGGCUCUCUGGUCCAUUUCUGACGCUGAGGUGCGAAAGCUAGGGGAGCAAACGGG
rnacentral:rRNA from 1 species